CCUUCUACCCACAGGAUCCUGCUGCUGCAGACAGAAGUGGAAAAGGCCCAGUGGCGUUUGGACCAGAUGACCCACAGCCUCUUGGCCCAGAGCCCAGCCCGGGGAUACCCCAAUACACUCCAGGUCCCGGAGGUACCAGUGCCCCUCAGGAAACAGCUAGAAGCACAAGAAUCACAUCCCAGGCUUCAUGAGGAGAUGGCUGAGUACUGGAGGACACGCUGGCACCAGGUGGCAGUUGCCCUGAAAUUUAAAGAGGAGGAAUUGCAGAGACUCCAGAGGCAGAGUGGGACCUGGCCUCCCCAGGGGAUGCAGUUCAACCCAGAACGCCUCCAAUUUGCUUCCUGCUACCUUCCUGGCUGGGUGGUUUGGUUUGGGUGUGACUUGGGACCUCAGGCUUCCAGCUGCUCCCUCUUGCUUUUCCCAUCAUGUAACCACAGGACCCUCACGCAGCUGCAGAGAGGCCAGACUGUGUGCUGAAGGAGCUGCCGUGAGUCUGGGUGGGCACCACCCAGUGAGCCCCCAGGCCCCUAGUCCACAAGCCAGCCAGGGAGGGCAGGCCAGGGCCCAGGAGGAGAUCCACUCCCCUCUGCAGGCUGGACCUGCCCAAACCCAAGAACCAGGGUGAGGGUUUCUGCAGGCAUGAGAGGAUGGGGUAGCAGGGCCCCUAGAUGGGAAUGCAGCCUGCCCCUCCCUGGCCAGCCACAGGAGCAGGAUGCAGGCUCUGGAGAGGGAGAACGACCAGAUGGCUGCUGGGAUCCAGAGGCGAAAGGUAGGCAGGAGCUGGCUGCUUGGGGUGGUGCGAGGUGGUCCCACCUACUGUCAGGGCCCCCAAAGAACCCCUCCUGAGGACCCUAGAGCCCUCCCCAAGCCUGAAGUCAGGGACUUGUGCAAUAAAGUGGAGGCUCGGGCUGUACCACAGCCACAGCUCUUCUCAUGGGGCCUCAGCUUCCUGUGUGUUUAAUGGGUCCCAAGCUCCCCACCCUGGCCCUGAGUACCAGGGUGCUCAGGCCCAGGGGUGUGGGGCCUCCAGGGCUACUAUGGCCCAUCUGUCCAUGAACAGAAAGGGCCUUGCCCUCCAGCCUGAGCUGGGUGCCUGUGGGCAGGAGCAGGACUUUGGCUGCCACUGGCACCAGAACCCUCAGCACCAGCUGCUAGGGGUGAGGGUUGGGUGCCCCCAGGUCAGGGUGGCCUGAGCCUGCCCACCCAAGGACAGGUACAUAAGGAUCUGGACAAUCCUGGCCGGGCGCGGUGGCUCAUCCCUAUAAUCCCAGCACUUUGGGAGGCUGAGGUGGGUGGAUCACGAGGUCAAGAGACUGAGACCAUCCUGGCCAACAUGGUGAAACCCUGUCUCUACUAAAAAUACAAAAAAUUAACCAGGCGUGGUGGCAAGUGCCUGUAAUCCCAGCUACUUGGGAGGCUGAGGCAGGAGAAUCACUGGAACCCUGGAGACAGAGGUUGCAGUGAGCCGAGAUCAUGCCAUUGCACUCCAGCCGGGGCAAAAAAGAGCAAAAACUCUCUCUCACACACACACACACAAAGAAUCUGGACAAUCCUGCCAGCCUGAAGGGAGGGCAGCCACCUGCCUUCUUCCCACAGGGCAGACCCCAGCAGAGACCCCAGGCCAGGCUCCAGAGUCUGCAAAGGGAAGGUGGGUCUCACCUCACCCCUGCACCACCCAGCCCACUGUGGCUUCUCCUGGGUACUACACAGGUAUUUACCUGAGUGGGCACCAGCCAAGCCCCACCCACACGCCUCCGGCCCCACAGCCUGUGGGUGGAGCCACUGGGAAUCCUCACUGGCUGGUCAAGCGACAGGGGUUCCACAAACACCAAUGGAGAUUCCAGUCCCAGCUCUGCCACAAACUGGCCAGUGGCCUUAGCCAAGCCCCUCACUGCUCUGGGGCUCAGGUUCCAUCUGUACUUUGGGUGUGGUGCCUGGGGGACUCUGGAAUCUCUGACACUCAGUAAUCCUAUGACCCUGUUCAGUUUACUCACUGGGUCACUGUCCCUGCGUCACAGUCUCCCCAGCUCUAUAGAACUGUGCCUGUGCCCCAGCUGAGUUGCCCAGUGGCCUUGGUGGAGCUAAUGAUGCACAGAACGGGGUGGGGGCAAGGGGACAGGGUCCUACUGUCCCUGCCACAUCCCAGCAUCGUUUCUGUCUCCCAUACCCCAGGAGCUGUGGGACCCCAGUUCUGCCAAGGAACUGGAGUCUGCAGUGUGGACUCUACCAGAGGCCAAUGGGUGAGCUCAAGGGCAGACUGGGGUGGAGCUGGGACAGCCCC
rnacentral:lncRNA from 10 species